UACGAAGGGUGCAAGCGUUAAUCGGAGUUACUGGGCGUAAAGGGUGCGUAGGCGGUUAUUUAAGUCUGCCGUGAAAUCCCCGGGCUCAACCUGGGAAUGGCGGUGGAUACUGGAUAGCUAGAGUGUGUCAGAGGAUGGUGGAAUUCCCGGUGUAGCGGUGAAAUGCGUAGAGAUCGGGAGGAACAUCAGUGGCGAAGGCGGCCAUCUGGGACAACACUGACGCUGAAGCACGAAAGCGUGGGGAGCAAACAGG
rnacentral:rRNA from 1 species